AGAGCGAACGCUGGCGGCAGGCUUAACACAUGCAAGUCGAGCGGGCGUAGCAAUACGUCAGCGGCAGACGGGUGAGUAACGCGUGGGAACGUACCUUUGGUUCGGAACAACACAGGGAAACUUGUGCUAAUACCGGAUAAGCCCUUACGGGGAAAGAUUUAUCGCCAAAAGAUCGGCCCGCGUCUGAUUAGCUAGUUGGUGAGGUAACGGCUCACCAAGGCGACGAUCAGUAGCUGGUCUGAGAGGAUGAUCAGCCACAUUGGGACUGAGACACGGCCCAAACUCCUACGGGAGGCAGCAGUGGGGAAUAUUGGACAAUGGGCGCAAGCCUGAUCCAGCCAUGCCGCGUGAGUGAUGAAGGCCCUAGGGUUGUAAAGCUCUUUUGUGCGGGAAGAUAAUGACGGUACCGCAAGAAUAAGCCCCGGACUAACUUCGUGCCAGCAGCCGC
rnacentral:rRNA from 1 species